rnacentral:rRNA from 1 species
ACGAAGGGGGCUAGCGUUGUUCGGAAUUACUGGGCGUAAAGCGCGCGUAGGCGGUGAUCCAUGUCAGAGGUGAAAGCCUGGAGCUCAACUCCAGAAUUGCCUUUGAAACGGGAUCGCUAGAGUCCGAGAGAGGAUGGCGGAAUUCCCAGUGUAGAGGUGAAAUUCGUAGAUAUUGGGAAGAACACCGGUGGCGAAGGCGGCCAACUGGCCUGUAAUUGACGCUGAGGCGCGAAAGCGUGGGGAGCAAACAGGA